rnacentral:lncRNA from 10 species
UCAGUCUUUGCGGAUGACCAUGACAUAGGCCAAAGGGAACUCGGCUUCGUCUUUGGACACAGGUUCCAUUAUGCAGUGAUUUCGGAUCAAGUAUCGCUGGCAGGUUAUUAUUUCUCAAUGGCGUCACUGGUAUAUUUUCAUCCAAGAACAUUUUCUUGCCUGUCACAAUCAUGCCACACACUUCUGCAAGGACUGAAGAGUUUGAGAUCUUCCCCCAUGGAAGAUAUUUUUGCGGGACCUAAUAGUUACUAUACAGGAAUAAAAGAGUUAUGGACGUGGCCAUAAGCCCUAGGACCAACCCAAAUGCCUCUACCUUUAUUUUUCCUAUGGUCUUUUCUGGAUUCAUCAUUCACCUGAUUUUAUGCCAUUGCUGAAGUCAGUCUGCAGGUCCCUGCCCAGACUUGAGAAAUGUGCUCUAGCAACUUAUUUGCAGCAAGAAGUGCAAUAUGACCAUUUACUUAAAAGAAGGAGGAUCAACCACAAGUCGGUAGCUCUUCUAUUUAAAAAAUCAGGUGACUCUUUGAACAUGAGCCAGUGGGGCCAGCUGACCACUUCACAAAAGCCAGGCACAGUUGGGCACCUCUGUCUAGGUCAACCACAAAUUAAGACCCUAGCAAAUCGGCCACAGCUGCCAGCUCAGGGUGUUUUUCCCAUGUGGAGUACAGGUGGAAUGUGUGUUCAUUUGGCACCUCUUUUUCCCAUGCAGAGCCACCAUCACCAUCACUGAUGUCACCUUUGAAUGCAAGGGACACUAUAUUUCUUCAACUUCAGGCAAUCACAGUUGUCCUGAAGUAGGUCACCAUUUACGUGGACAGCACCCAGAACUCCUCGAUAGUGGGGUCUCUUUACUUAAAAAUAAAGAUCAAGAAUUUAUAGUAUUUCAGGAUUGAAAGGAAUCUUGCAGAUUAUUCUCACCAAUUGAUUCAGUUACAAAUAAAGAACACUGACAAUGACCCAUAACGACUAUUCUAUCACAUUUUGUCUCCAUUUUCUCACUGAUGGCCUGAGAGGUGAUUGCAAAUCUAUGGAUGAGACCAAGGGAGAAUUUUCACGCCAUCAUAGCAUUUUAUUCCUCACCUGACUGGGAGCAGCUCGAAGGGAAGGACAUGUCUCCAAAGACAUGAGGAGUAUUCAACGUGGCAUUCGAGGCGCAAGGAAAAACCUGCCUAUCCCAAGAUCUCAGCCCCAUCAGCCAGCCAAGGGAUCCACAAUGACCCUUAUGAAGUUUCAUAAGGAAGCUAAUUGCUUAAAUGAGAUUUGAGUCAAGAAGGAUGACCUAGCAAUAACCUCUAUAUAUCUCAUUAUGCC